GGCUCCGUAGCUCAACUGGAUAGAGCGUCUGGCUUCGGACCAGAAGGUUUGGGGUUCGAAUCCCUACGGGGUCACCA
rnacentral:tRNA from 1 species